UCCGUAGGUGAACCUGCGGAAGGAUCAUAGUAAUCGUCUUUGACGUUCGCUUUUCCGUCGUCCUCGGGACAUUAAGGUGCUCUGGUYRAGGAUAAAYGACCCCUCUGACCGAGGUCAAACCCGUCGCUCUGUGUUACCUCYAAAAAUUUUUUUUCCGAGGCACACCUUAAAGAUCGUUCCGCAUUGYGAGUCUAACACCAGUUGUAUAAACUUUUUACAACCGGUAGCGCUGGAUCCCUUGGCACGUCAUUCGAUGAAGACCGUUGCAAAUUGCGAUAAAGUGAUGUGAUGCGCAAGUCCACCACUUAUACGUGAAUCAUCGAGUUGUUGAACGCAUUGCACCGCGCCCUAAUCCGGCUGCGGUAUGCCCCUUUGAGCGUCAUUGUAUUCCUUCGGGAGUCCUUUUACAAGGACCCGAGUUCGGAGUCCUCGGUCCCCUGUGGAUCGUGUUCUCUCAGAUCCCUCGCACCGAUCGCCUGAUGSGUCCUCUAAUGCCUAAGCGUGGAGUUCCUUCAGAGUCCGASASGUGCUUGACCGAGUCUUGAGCUCGUGUCACCAAGUCYGCCUAMCAGCRGUACUACAACRCAUGACCUCAUUGGGGUAGGACAACCCGCUAGACUUAAGCAUAUUAAUCAGCGGAGGAAAAGAAACUAACCAGGAUUCCCUCAGUAACUGCGAGUGAAGCGGGAUCGGCUCAAUGUGUGAAUCUGGCUUGGGGUACAUCCCGGGUUCGAGUUGUGCACUAUGGAUGCUUCGUCUGCGUUUGUAAAGGCGGUGGAAGUCCGUUGAAACACGGCACCUCAGAGGGUCACAGUCCUGUACCACCUGCCUGCACUCGCGCCAAUGACAAGUGCUCCUCGAGUC
rnacentral:rRNA from 1 species